CCUACGGGAGGCAGCAGUGAGGAAUAUUGGUCAAUGGACGAGAGUCUGAACCAGCCAAGUCGCGUGAAGGAUGACUGCCCUAUGGGUUGUAAACUUCUUUUAUAUGGGAAUAAAACGUUCCACGUGUGGGAUUUUGUAUGUACCAUAUGAAUAAGGAUCGGCUAACUCCGUGCCAGCAGCCGCGGUAAUACGGAGGAUUCGAGCGUUAUCCGGAUUUAUUGGGUUUAAAGGGGGCGUAGGUGGAUUGUUAAGGCAGUUGUGAAAGUUUGCGGCUCAACCGUAGAAUUGCAGUUGAAACUGGCAGUCUUGAGUACAGUAGAGGUGGGCGGAAUUCGUGGUGUAGCGGUGAAAUGCUUAGAUAUCACGAAGAACUCCGAUUGCGAAGGCAGUUCACUGGACUGCAACUGACACUGAAGCUCGAAAGUGUGGGUAUCGAACAGGAUUAGAUACCCUGGUAGUC
rnacentral:rRNA from 1 species